UUUGGAUCUUUGCCUUUUUGUUGGGUCUUUGAUAGACACAUCCCAUUAACUGAUUGAUCUGUCAAAUCUCAAUACUCAAAAGUAUGAUUAUCUAAUUUUGAGAAGAAGAAGAUAUUAAGUCCAGCUAUUCUCUGUAUGAAUGUAGAGUUACAAGUUCUUACACUGAACUAAUCAAUCUCACUUUUGAAAUUGGGAAAGAUUUGCUUUUAUUUUUUUAAACUGUUCUUUUACUUUUGAUUGUUACUUGUUUGAGAACUAAUAGGAAGGUGUUAUAUUGGUUCUCUCUUCAUAGUUGCUUUAGCUGGUAAGCCUGAC
rnacentral:misc_RNA from 1 species